rnacentral:rRNA from 1 species
AUGCACGCUGGCGGCGUGCCUAAUACCUGCAAGUCGAGCGCACGGACGAGAAGCUUGCUUCUCUGAUGUUAGCGGCGGACGGGUGAGUAACACGUGGAUAACCUACCUAUAAGACUGGGAUAACUUCGGUAAACCGGAGCUAAUACCGGAUGAUAUUUUGAACCGCAUGGUUCAAAAGUGAAAGACGGUCUUGCUGUCACUUAUAGAUGGAUCCGCGCUGCAUUAGCUAGUUGGUAAGGUAACGGCUUACCAAGGCAACGAUGCAUAGCCGACCUGAGAGGGUGAUCGGCCACACUGGAACUGAGACACGGUCCAGACUCCUACGGGAGGCAGCAGUAGGGAAUCUUCCGCAAUGGGCGAAAGCCUGACGGAGCAACGCCGCGUGAGUGAUGAAGGUCUUCGGAUCGUAAAACUCUGUUAUUAGGGAAGAACAUAUGUGUAAGUAACUGUGCACAUCUUGACGGUACCUAAUCAGAAAGCCACGGCUAACUACGUG